UUUGGUACACUUCUCUGUUGUCUUCCUGCAUCCUAAAAUCCACAGUCCUCUUUUCCCUAGGUUUCCAAUAACUUUCUCCUGUUUCUACAGUCUUCCUUCUAUUCCAUUUAAGAAAAUCGCCAGCCCUCUACAAACUGCAUAACAAAUGAUAAUGCACUGUUUUAUUGCACACUUAGCUGUAAGCACACUUGUUAAUUAUCCAAGUAGCGUUGUGAAUGAAGAUUUACACUUCACCUUGCCUCAGAUAUAUAGGUGCAUUAAGAAUAUUUGUAGUAUCUGUGACAGACAGAAAUGUCUCCAAGUUUUCUGAAAGAAGGGAGGAGAUCGAGUCUUGAUUUGGUCUUCAGUAGUCUCAAGAAUAUCUCCGUGGAAUAAAAGUAUUUUUUUCUCCUAGCUGAAGGACAGAGCUGCAUAGUUCACCAUGUCAAGCUCAUGUAUUUAUGGUUCAAAGGGCUCUCCUCACCCCCAGACUUGAAGCUUACAGAGGAAUCCAAGCUGUCGGGUGCCCAACUGAAUUUGCAAGUGCAUGCUGAGAGGCAGGCUUCGUGGGUGAGGGAAGGCAAGAAGUAGAUAGAAGAUUUGCAGCAGAUCGAUCUGGACAGCACAGACAUGUCAUUUGUCUUCCUGGAGCUCCUUGGAAAAGGGUCAAGGCACCUUCAAGGGCACUGCUGCUUACAAAGAAGAAGAUGAGGUCCUUGAUGCUAACCAGAAAGUGGCCCCCUGCUCCCCUGCUGCUGUGGGUAAUUCCAGCUAGCUUUUUCACCGUGCAGUGGUAUUAUUAGGAAGGAAGGAUCAGUAAAAAGGAAUCUGCAACCUGAUCUGGUGCUGAGGAAUGCCUUCUGAAUGUGUUAUUUGAAUUUAGUUAUUACUUCUGGGAGGUGUGAACAUUCUGCAUGGCUCUUCAUUCAAAACCUGAAAUUGACUGUGAAGAGUACUAAAAAAGUUAUGCAAGCCUUCAUGCAAUUAAGCAAAGUAGUUUCAAAAAGGUAAUUAUAUGCAGUACAUCAUGAUAGCCAAAAAAUACAUUAUGUGAUGGAUGUUCCUUGCAUUGCAUUACUUUUGAUGGUCCAUUUUCUGGAUUUUAAAAUUAUCAAUAAAUGUAUGUAUAUGUUUGGAUUUAGAUCCUGCACACUUAGUUGAUUUUUUGUUGUUGUUUUUAAACUACAUUUGCUCCCUCGUGGAUGUUGCUCCAUCUCCAUUUCUAAAAUGCUGAAUGGGCAGAUUGUUUCUAUCAAGUAUUUUACAUGAACUGUUAACGAAGUGUGAACAAUAGGGGACUGUCAACUAAAUGGUUCUCAGGAAUUGCAAAGUUAAGUGAUAUAGAAGCCCUACUCAAGGAAAUUCAGCUUUUUAUUGCACCUAGCAGGAGAUUUUAAGGAAUAUUACAAACUGACCAAUUGCAGGGAAGUAUGACAGAUGUCUGAGAGUAAAUGCUUAUAAGCCCCGCAUACUGUACUGAUGAACUGCUAUGCAAUUCCUUCUUUAACACGAACCUGAAUAGGAGAAAAUCUUACAUGGUGAAAUUUAUAAAUUUCUAAGAAAUUCAUUGGAGACCCUAUCCAGCAGGGGUCAGAAUGAAAAAGGGAAACAGUGGUACUUGCUGAGGCUGACAGCUAAAGGCACAGAUCUAUCAGUCACUCAGCGUCUGUUCAGCAUUCUUUUCAGCACAGAUCAUUUGGUUUUGAUUUUCCAAACAAGCGUAGUUACCUACAGUGCACACCCACCCAGUUGUUCAUGCUGUGUGUUUGAUUGUCACACAAUGCUCCUUUAGAGAACCUUCACCUUUGAUAUCAGUUCAGCAAGUAAAACAACACUGAUUGGAGUCAGCAUUGUCUAUCCCCACGGUUUUUCAGAGGAAAAGUUCAUUAGCUGCUUCACAUGCCAAGGGACCAGCUGUCCUGCAGCACAUGGAGCAGCUCUG
ensembl:lncRNA